ACGUCAGACGUCAGGGGAACGAAUGGAACUGAAGAAAGAACUCGCUUUAGCGAAAAUCUAUUCCGAAACCCUUACGACCGAUGUCCGAUGACUGACGACCGAAUAGUGGCGGACGGGUGAGUAACGCGUGGGCAACCUACCCAUAAGAGGGGGAUAACAGCUGGAAACGGCUGCUAAUACCGCAUAAGCUUUUGAGACACAUGUUUUAGAAAGUAAAGGAGGCUUUAGGCUUCCGCUUAUGGAUGGGCCCGCGUCUGAUUAGCUAGUUGGUAGGGUAGCGGCCUACCAAGGCAACGAUCAGUAGCCGGCCUGAGAGGGUGGACGGCCACACUGGGACUGAGAACGGCCCAGACUCCUACGGGAGGCAGCAGUGGGGAAUAUUGCGCAAUGGGGGAAACCCUGACGCAGCGACGCCGCGUGAGCGAAGAAGGCCUUCGGGUUGUAAAGCUCUGUUGUAAGGGACGAAAGAUCAAGGGAAUAACUGCCCUUGAAGUGACGGUACCUUACCAGCAAGCCCCGGCUAACUACGUG
rnacentral:rRNA from 1 species